UACGUAGGUGGCAAGCGUUGUCCGGAUUUAUUGGGUUUAAAGGGUGCGUAGGCGGCCCUGUAAGUCAGUGGUGAAAUACUCUAGCUUAACUAGAGGGGUGCCAAUGAUACUGCAGGGCUUGAGUACAGAUGAGGUAGGCGGAAUUGACGGUGUAGCGGUGAAAUGCGUAGAUAUCGGGAGGAACACCAGUGGCGAAGGCGACUUCCUGGCCUGUUCUUGACGCUGAGGCGCGAAAGCUAGGGGAGCAAACGGG
rnacentral:rRNA from 1 species